GGCGCACGGGUGCGUAACACGUAUGCAACCUACCUUUAACUGGGGGAUAGCCUUUCGAAAGAGAGAUUAAUACCGCAUAAAACAGCAGCACUGCAUGGUGUAACUGUUAAAGCUUCGGUGGUUAAAGAUGGGCAUGCGUUGCAUUAGCUAGUUGGUAAGGUAACGGCUUACCAAGGCUACGAUGCAUAGGGGAUCUGAGAGGAUGAUCCCCCACACUGGUACUGAGACACGGACCAGACUCAUACGGGAGGCAGCAGUAAGGAAUAUUGGUCAGUGGGCGCAAGCCUGAACCAGCCAUGCCGCGUGCAGGAAGACGGCCCUAUGGGUUGUAAACUGCUUUUAUCGGGGAAUAAACCUCAUUACGUGUAAUGAGUUGAAGGUACCCGAAGAAUAAGGAUCGGCUAACUCCGUGCCAGCAGCCGCGG
rnacentral:rRNA from 1 species